GGGUCAAUGGCAUAGUUGGUUAUCACAUCUGUCUAACACACAGAAGGUCCUCAGUUUGAACCUGGGUCAACUCA